UUGUUCUGGUGUUGAGUGAUUGUAAGUGUUCGUAGUUCAGUGUGUAGUGUUUUUGAGAUUUUGUUUAAAUUUAAAACGAGAAUUUGUGGAAAUAGUUGCAGGUAGUGUUUGUAAUUGUCGUGCAGUUUUCUCCGUCAACAAACCCCAUGUUAGUCCGUAGUAUAGUAGCCUACCAUAGAAUGUCACCAUCAUCCAUCCAACAUACGAUGCUUCCAUCACCCACCACCAGAGGGAUAGGCAGAGUCUAUUGGUAACCAAAAACGGAUAAUGAAACGAAUUAUCAAGAUGGACGGUCUAACGGGCACGAUGAUUUCUCUGAGUCGACACGAAUGGUCUGGGUCACUGACCAGGACUUAGAAAACAGUGACCCAGGUUUACUAAAAAUCACUUUCCUUGUAACCCUCAACCAAAUACGGUCGUAAACUGGAAGCGUAAGCUAGUGAUAGUUAAUUAGAACACGAAAAGACGCAGAGGAGUUGAGUGAAGUGGAAUAGGACAGCAGAACCCCGCUGUUUUGGACAGAACUUCGGUUCUGGCGGUUCAUCAACCAACCCCCCCCCCCCCUUACGUUGUGGGCAGUUCCGGCGAAGACGCCGUUGACCGAGUCCGUCACCAUACUCGGAGGCUCGGGGAAUGGACGAGGUCCAGAAAUGACGUCAUCGUCAUCCCAAAAUGGAAGGAGUAGGAGAGAAGCCGACCAUCAUCGUAGACACAGCAAUGGAGAAGGUCGUGGUGAUGGAUGGUGGAAGAAGAGGGGCCCCGAAGAAGUUAGAAGAAAAGGACAGGUUAGAGUAGAUUAAGAAAGUGGGAAAGCUGUGAAAGUAAAGGCCGGAAAAGUCCGGAAUAAAUGUAGUUUGUGUCGAAA